rnacentral:rRNA from 1 species
CAACGGUGAAGACGCGGCGGACGGCUCAGUAACACGUAGCCAACCUGCCCUUGGGACGGGGAUAACCCCGGGAAACUGGGGACAACCCCCGAUAAGCGGGAAGGCCUGGAACGGUUUCUCGCAUAAAGGACAACGAAACCAUGCUUUCGUUGUCGCCCGAGGAUGGGGCUGCGGCCGAUCAGGUAGUUGGUGAGGUAACGGCUCACCAAGCCUAUAACCGGUACGGGCCGUGAGAGCGGGAGCCCGGAGAUGGGCACUGAGACAAGGGCCCAGGCCCUACGGGGCGCAGCAGCUACGAAAACUCUGCAAUGCGCGAAAGCGCGACAGGGCUACCCCGAGUGCCGUCCGCUGAGGAUGGCUUUUCUCCGGUGUAAUGAGCCGGAGGAAUAAGGGGAGGGCAAGCCUGGUGUCAGCCGCCGCGGUAAUACCAGCUCCCCGAGUGGUGGGGACGAUUAUUUGGCCUAAAGCGUCCGUAGCCGGUUCAGUAAGUCUCUUGUUAAAUCCAACGAUCUAAUCGUUGGACUGCAGGAGAUACUGCUGAACUAGGAGGCGGGAGAAGCCGACGGUACUCUUGGGGUAGGGGUGAAAUCCUAUAAUCCCAGGAGGACCACCAGUGGCGAAGGCGGUGGCUAGAACGCGCUCGACGGUGAGGGACGAAAGCUGGGGGAGCGAUCCGGAUUAGAUACCCGGGUAGUCCCAGCUGUA